rnacentral:rRNA from 1 species
GAUAAACGCUGGCGGCGCACAUAAGACAUGCAAGUCGAACGGACUGAAACCUAAGUUUACUUUGGUGGAAGUUAGUGGCGGACUGGUGAGUAACACGUAAGCAAUCUGCCUAUCAGAGGGGAACAACAGUUAGAAAUGACUGCUAAUACCGCAUAUGCCUAAGUAACACAUGUUACAAUAGGGAAAGGAGCAAUCCGCUGAUAGAUGAGCUUGCGUCUGAUUAGAUAGUUGGUGGGGUAACGGCCUACCAAGUCGACGAUCAGUAGCCGGACUGAGAGGUUGAACGGCCACAUUGGGACUGAGAUACGGCCCAGACUCCUACGGGAGGCAGCAGUCGGGAAUAUUGCGCAAUGGAGGAAACUCUGACGCAGUGACGCCGCGUGCAGGAAGAAGGUUUUCGGAUUGUAAACCUCUGUUUUUAGUGAAGAAUAAAUGACGGUAGCUAAAGAGGAAGCCACGGCUAACUACGUG